rnacentral:lncRNA from 1 species
UAGGAGAAGUCAGUGAUAGAGAAUCAAUUGUGAAAAUUAAAGUAGAAAUUAAGAGGGUAUUUUCAAACUAAGGGUUUUCAAUCUCAAGGAAGAGAAAGGGUCACAUUUGAACAAUUGUUUUUGGUAAAGAAGAGAGGAAAUGAGUUACUUAUAACCCACCAUAAAUAUGCAUUGCAUUGACCUGGUAAUCAAGUUUUGAAUAACUGGCAAAUAGAUGUUUUCUUUCUUCCUUCUUUUGUUCAUCAAUUGUUAUAUACUGUGAUACUGCACGAUUAUUAAUGUUAGUGUUAAAACAAUGUUAAUUGUAUAUAAUCUUGCUGCACUGACAUCAGUGACAUGUCCUAAGUGUAUUAUGAAGAAACAUUCCAGAUAUUUCUCUAUUAAAAAAUUUUUUUUGCUUGCAAUCUGAAAGAUUAAAAUAUUCUUUAAAAUUGUUUUACACUUACAUGAAAGAUACAUAUUCUACUCUUUAAAAACAUUAUUGCAUGCAAAUUUUGCACCUUUAAAAAUGGAUAGUAAUAAAACACU